GAGGGUAUAGCUCAAGUGGUAGAACACAUGCUCAGCAGCAUGAGGUCCUGGGUUCAAUUCCCUGGUACCUCCU
rnacentral:tRNA from 1 species